rnacentral:rRNA from 1 species
GACGAACCGUGCAAACGUUGUUCGGAAUCACUGGGCUUAAAGGGCGCGUAGGCGGGUUCGUAAGUCUGUGGUGAAAGCCCCCAGCUUAACUGGGGAAGUGCCAUGGAUACUGCGAGUCUUGAGGAGGGUAGGGGCAUCUGGAACACUGGGGUGGAGCGGUGAAAUGCGUUGAUAUCCAGUGGAACUCCGGUGGCGAAGGCGAGGUGC